GCUUGUUUUUGUGUUUACAGCAUACAUGUACUAUAUACUUUGUCUAUAAUUGAAAAUAUUGUGUCUUUUUUGGUGGGUUUGAAUUUUUUUUUUUUUUUGCUUGUUAUUUUCAAGUAAGAAUCAGCUAACAAUCAGGGGAUGUAGCUUUUUUUAAAUUAUAACGAGUUUCAUAUCUGCUUAUGGAUGAUGCUGAACCUAUCCAUCUUGGGCUAGCGGUGCCCUGUUCUUUGUCUCUCUGCUUUAUCAUUUAUGUAUUAAAUGACUUUAUUUUGCCUCUGAUGAUGAUCAAUAAAUAACUUUCGUUCUUCCGAGAUGCUCCAUGCGGAAAAAAUUUGGAGACCUGAACUGAAGAGGAUUUUUUUUUCGCUGUUGUUGUGUAUUUACACUAUAUAUAUGUAUAUACAAUUAUGCUUUGAAUACGUACUGUAUUUGAACAUAUUUCGUGCCCCUGUUGCGUAUGUUGUUUAGACUAUUGAGGUUCUUUAGAGGUAUUUUAUAUUUUAAUGGAGUAUUCGAUAAUGAUGCUUGAACCCUUUAAUUAACAACUUCUAAAGUAGUGUAGUUAAACGGAUUGGAUAUCAAUUAGGUGUGUUAGGUUUUAGCAUGGGGUCACUAGCUUGUGUCCACCAUUUGUUACUUUGAGUGAUAGGGUUCGAUUGACAAAUAAUAUCCAGUAAAGUUCACAGUGAAGAGUUCUCUUCUCAUUAGUGCAAGGUAGAUUACUUUAUAUACUUUUUUGCAAUAGUAUUUGCCACAUUGAAAUUAUUUUCUUACACCCACAUGGUCAGCCUUCAACUUUUAGAAACCUGAAUUUGUGGACUUAACCUUUAUAUCGACAGCAGCGAGUUGCAUAAAAGAUCUUCUUUUGCUUCUAAUGAUAUUUCUGAUGAAACUUUCAUUUUCCUGAGCUUCUUAGUGCUGAAAAUCUGGAUACCUGAGCUGAUUAGUCUGUUCUUAUAAUGAGUAUCAAAGAUCAUACUCACUGAGGUUCUCGUCAAAACAGGAAGCUCCUUGGCCAUGUGAGAGCACUUGAUGGACAUUGCAACAUGGUUCUCGAAAAAUGGCAGGGAGAUGUGGACUGAGGUAGCAAAAACUGGAAAAAGCAAGAAAAAGGCUCAAGCAGUUAACAAAGAUAGAUUCAUUACUAAGAUGUAUGGUGGCAUUGUCCACUAUAAAGAUAUGCAGAAAUCGAUGCUUAAAAUCGUAGUGCUUGGCUGGGAAUUUAACUACCCUUUUUAGAACAACUUUCCAGUGGCAUACUUUGUACAUCCCCUCUUACCCCAAAAAAAAAAAUGUCAGUUUGAAUUGGAAUCGCGCUUUUGCGGCUCUAUUCUAUCAGAAGGAUGAGUUUUGAGACAAUUUAAGCAUUGUUGUGAUUUCCCUUCUCUGUAAUUAUUGUAUCGUAUUCUGUCUUUAUUUUUGUGUGGUAAUCUUUCACUUGAGACCUCGCCUAGCAUUUUGUGGAAGAGAAGUACCACUAACACCGAUAGCUAGAAUGGUAAGUAAUAAUGGACUCGCGCCUUUGAUACA